rnacentral:rRNA from 1 species
AAUCAUUUGCCCUAUAAUUGAGGGCUAGUAUGAAUGGUUUGACAUGAGCAUAGCUGUCUCCUUAAAAUUUUAUAAAAUUUGGUUUUUAGGUGAAGAAACCUAAAUUAAAUUGAAAGACAAGAAGACCCUAUCGAGCUUUAGAAUAAUUAAUUAAAAAAUAUAAAUGAAACAAUUAAUUUUAAUUAAAAACUUUGGUUGGGGCGACUAAGGAACAUAUAAAGCUUCCUUAAUUAAAUAAUGCUGAUAAGCAAUGAUCCAGGAAAUCUGAUUAGAAAAAUUAGUUACCGUAGGGAUAACAGCAUAAUCUUUUUUGAGAGCUCUUAUCGAAAAAAAGGUUUGU